UGGGGCAAAAAGGGCGUAAAACUAAGCGCCCGCAGGAAGAAGCUCAAAAGAUCAGCGAGAGGAUAUUUCAUGAAUAAAGAAAAUAUUCCUCCAGUGCAUGAUACGUUCCAACAAUCACUUCAAGAAGCAAUUUCGCCGCCUUUGUCGCAUUUGCCGCAAACACCGCGGUCGGCGUUUUUGAGAAUGUAAACAAACAGAAGAAAGCAACCUUAUUUCUAAAGGAAUAAAGUAUUAUUUUUAUA